UCCCAGAUGUCUUAGUGGUAAAGAAUCUGCCUGCCAAUGCAGGUGACACCAGUUCAAUCCCUGGGUUGGGAA
rnacentral:tRNA from 1 species